UACGAAGGGGGCUAGCGUUGCUCGGAAUCACUGGGCGUAAAGCGCACGUAGGCGGAUUGUUAAGUCAGGGGUGAAAUCCCGGAGCUCAACUCCGGAACUGCCUUUGAUACUGGAGAUCUUGAGUCCGGAAGAGGUAAGUGGAACUGCGAGUGUAGAGGUGAAAUUCGUAGAUAUUCGCAAGAACACCGGUGGCGAAGGCGGCGAUCUGGGUCGAGUACUGACGCUGAGGUGCGAAAGCGUGGGGAGCAAACAGGG
rnacentral:rRNA from 1 species